UACGAAGGGGGCUAGCGUUGUUCGGAAUUACUGGGCGUAAAGCGCACGUAGGCGGAUAUUUAAGUCAGGGGUGAAAUCCCGGGGCUCAACCCCGGAACUGCCUUUGAUACUGGGUAUCUCGAGUCCGAGAGAGGUGAGUGGAAUUCCGAGUGUAGAGGUGAAAUUCGUAGAUAUUCGGAGGAACACCAGUGGCGGAGGCGGCUCACUGGCUCGGUACUGACGCUGAGGUGCGAAAGCGUGGGGAGCAAACAGGG
rnacentral:rRNA from 1 species